GUAGCUGUGGCUCAGUGGCAGAGUGCUCACCUAGCACGUGUGACGCACUGGGUUUGAUCCUCAGCACCAACC
rnacentral:tRNA from 1 species